AGGAGAAGGACGAGACGUUGGGGGGGUGCGGGGGGAGGAAGACUCCACCAUGACCACAAGAUGAGGACCACCAUGAGAAUUUACAAGGAGCAGAAAGAGCCGGAUCAAUACUAAAAUGCUGAUGCAAGGCCCCAUUACUGAAGUUCUGAAUCUUACAUAUCUCACUGACCGUGGAAAAGUUAAGCUGGUGCCUAACUCGAGCCUUUACCCCCGGUGACUAGUGUUCAUGGAACUGGAUGGUAUCCUGGUACUCAGCAUGCCACCAGCGGAGAAAGGGUGGUAUUAGUGACCCUCCAUAUGGCUGCUCUUCAUGAUAACGAUGGAAUGGAAGCAGCCUCUAUGUCCAUUAACUGACUGAUGGGAGUGAGCGUGGGAUAGUUAUACAAUGGAAUAGCAUCCUGCUCUUACGAAGAAUGGAAUUUGCAGCUAAAUGGAUGGAACUGGAACCUGCUAGAGUGAGUCGGGUAACCCGCAUGCCGAAGGAUGAGCAUCCUCUGAUACUUGGAUGCUGUCUUUGACUCUUUAGAUUAGAUAUUUAUAUUAAAAAAGAAAUACCCACAGCAUUCAAGUCAGUUGUAAGGGGCGUCUAUUCUACCAGGGUCCUGUUUGCAAUGGAAACUUGAGUGUUCUUGGGCAAGCCAGUUGUGUUUGUUACUUGUGUGCCGGGGCAAACAAGUAAAGGAGUGUUUUCCUGAAGUGGAUACAGGUGAAAGACUAAGGCAGACUCGUGAAGGAACACUGCUUUGAAGAAGACACAGGAGAAAGGAUGUUCUGCUAAAGCAAGCCCGUGAAAGGACAUGUGAUGAAGGAUUCUUUGUUAAUGACACACAUGUAUUGGUCUGCCUUACACUGUAAUUGAGCUCCAUUUACUUGUUGGGACUCCAUAACUUCUGGUGCAGUGCUGUAGUUUCUUGCCUCGUCUGUGGACUGGGGCUGUUUGGCAGAGUGAUGUCAGCUGAGACAGACUCAUGUGUUGAGGCAAGACAGGUGGAGGUCGUGUGAUGAUUGAUGGCUUGCUGGUACAGCUAGCUGUGCAAUGUUUGUGGGUCUCUUAUCUUCACUGAUCUUUGCUUUCCUGAGAAAGGCACAGCCAAGAACUUCUCCUGACACUCCUCUGCGUCCCUCCUGCUAACUUGAGCUGAGGCUGAGGCCUGGCUGUCUCUGCUAGGGCAUGUCACUGCUGUUGCUAACCUGACCCUACCAAAGUGGACUGCUGGUAUAUUCAUGAAGUAUUUGCAAGUGGAUGGAGCUGCCGCUGCCUGCUAACCUAUGAGCUGAACUGCUGAUUUCCAUACAACGCAGAUUGGAAUUGCUCCAAAGAACCUUUCUAAACAGGUCAUUCAGUAACUCCAAGAGUCGAUCUGCACUGAGUGGGGUCGGGCUAGGCCAACAAGAAGCCAACUAUCCUGUGAGGAGUGCGGUGGAACCUCAGGUGGCUCUUUGGGAGAGAAGAUCUCUUCCCACCUGUUACAGCUCUUGGAACAAAAGACUCAGAGAUGGAGUAGUACUUGCACACAGGGUUCGACAGCAGAUCUUGCCUGAGUUUAUUCAUAAGAACAGCAUAGGACACUGGUCAUCUGCAAAUAGUGUGUGGGGAGGUGUGUCACAGCAGUCUGUCUGUCUUCACACUGGUAGGAGCCUUUUCUAUGGGGCCUUCACAGGGGCCGGAGCCUGGGCUAGAGCUGAAGCCUGGGCCUUAGCUGGCCCCUGCCUUGGUUUGGACCUUAGGCUUCGGUUGGCAGAGCCUCUGACCGUUGGCCACGUAGCUUCGAAUCCGCUUCCCAAGCUUAGGGUGAGCGAUGAAAGCCGGCCGCUUGAGUUUGGGGCCUUUUGGCAUCUUGGACUUGAUGGCCUGAGGCUUUACCAGGGCCUUGAUGGCCUCUGCGCAUGCGCGCACUCACUGCCUUUGCGUUGUUGGCCUGCAUCUUCUUCAGGCCUUUCUUGUUGUGCUUCUUGGCAAUGCACAUGUUCCUCAGGAACUUGGGGUCAAACCCCUUAAGAGACUCAUAUCUUUUCGACCAGGGUUUCUUGAUGCCAUUUCUGUGCCAUUUGCGGGACUGGUUGUGUGUGGUGUGGUUCUUGGACUUGGCCAUGUCUACACGGUAACCCACGGCUCCCGCAGCGCCUGAGACCGCGUAUGUAGGAUUCUAUUACAGCUCUUCUGGAUACAUUUGGAAACUUUCAAAGAAAUAAUUUGGAAAUUUAAAAGGUUUUUUUUAAAAAACAUGCUCAAAAUGUUAUCCAACCAUAAAAUUCCAUGAGACACCUCAAACUUGACAUGCUCCUGACAUUGCCCUGCAAGCUCACAACCUUCUUAGUAUUCACCACUGUACUGGCUAGUUUUGUGUCAACUUGACACACCUGGAGUUAUCACAGAGAAAGGAGCUUCGGUUGAGGAAAUGCCUCUAUGAGAACCAACUGUAAGGCAUUUUCUCAAUUAGUGAUCAAGGGGG
rnacentral:lncRNA from 1 species